GUGGUGACAGCGGAGGAUCAUUAAAGAGUUUUUUAACUCCUAAAACCAUGUGAAUUUACCUAUGUUGCCUCGGCGGGGAAACCUACCCGGGGGCUGCUCUGAGUGGCCUACCCCGGUACCUACCCGGUAGCUACGCUGUAGUUGUAGGCUUACCCGCCGGCGGACCAUUCAAACUCUUAGUUUUCUGGCAAUUCUGAAUUAUUAUCAUAAUAAGUUAAAACUUUCAACAACGGAUCUCUUGGUUCUGGCAUCGAUGAAGAACGCAGCGAAAUGCGAUAAGUAAUGUGAAUUGCAGAAUUCAGUGAAUCAUCGAAUCUUUGAACGCACAUUGCGCCCAUUAGUAUUCUAAUGGGCAUGCCUGUUCGAGCGUCAUUUCAACCCUCAAGCCCUAGUUGCUUGGUGUUGGGAGCUUAUCCUGUCGGAAGGCGGGACAACUCCUUAAAAUUAUUGGCGGAGUCGCGGUGACCCCAAGCGCAGUAAUUCCUUUUCUCGCUUUAGGUGUUAACGCUGGCCUCUAGCCAUUAAACCUCUCUAUUUUCUCAAAUGGUUGACCUCGGAUCAGGUAGGACUACCCGCUGAACUUAAGCAUAUCAAUAAGCGGAGGA
rnacentral:rRNA from 1 species